rnacentral:rRNA from 1 species
CCUACGGGUGGCAGCAGUGAGGAAUAUUGGUCAAUGGGCGAGAGCCUGAACCAGCCAAGUCGCGUGAGGGAGUACUGCCCUAUGGGUUGUAAACCUCUUUUGUCGGGGAGCAAAAGCCGGACGUGUCCGGCUGUGAGAGUACCCGAAGAAAAAGCAUCGGCUAACUCCGUGCCAGCAGCCGCGGUAAUACGGAGGAUGCGAGCGUUAUCUGGAUUUAUUGGGUUUAAAGGGUGCGGAGGCGGAUUUUUAAGUCAGCGGUAAAAUCGUGGGGCUCAACCCCAUCCAGCCGUUGAAACUGGGGAUCUAGAGUGUGCGAGAGGUAUGCGGAAUGCGUGGUGUAGCGGUGAAAUGCAUAGAUAUCACGCAGAACCCCGAUUGCGAAGGCAGCAUACCGGUGCACAACUGACGCUGAGGCACGAAAGCGUGGGUAUCGAACAGGAUUAGAUACCCCAGUAGUC